CAUUUGUAUGCAUGAUAAUGUGCAUUGUCAAGCCAUUGAUCACAUCAUUUUAUACUUUCAGAAGGAGCCAAAGCAAUUGUAAUUGGUAUAAUAAAGCCCAGCUGGUGAGCCAAUCUCUGGAAUAACUCGGGACUAGCACAGCAGGGGCAGAGUGAAGAAUGUAUUUGAGGAAGAAAAUGAGAAUUUGAACUGAUAUGUUUCAUAGUGAUAUUAAUCACAUUCUUUGGAUAAAGGAUUUUCUGAUGAGAAAAGGAAGAAAAUCAUGAAUGACUUCACAACACAAUUUUUACCUGUAACCAGCCAAUACUUCAAAUUUUAGAUAUUAGAUGUGUGUUAGAUUGUAAGAGAUCUUGGUAAUCAUCAUGUUCAACUUCCUGCCCCAGUCAAGAUUCUGUUUCUACAUCUUCAUUGAUAGAUGCUUCCAUUGCUACUUGAAUAUCUAGGAUAGGAAGAAACAUUCUUUAUCAAAAGGAAAUUCAUUCAAUUUUAAAUCACUUACAUAUCCAUAAAGCUGUUUUAAGAGUAAACUGAAAAAUGUUAAUGCAAGCCAUUCAUUCCAUUUUAAUUUUUAGAGAAAACAUGACCUUGUUAUUUCUUUUCACCUGACCAUUCUUCCUGUCAUAUGGUAGAAACUUCCAAAUGCAUUUCUAGUUCACUCCCAGACUAUGUUAGUCACUAGAAAUAAAAGUGGAACAGAAAUUAAUAACUUUGAUACAUUUAGCAAAUGUAGUUUGAAAAUCUUAAUAGUUGUAACUACAACUAAAUCUAUAUUAAGUUUCAGCAAUAAGCCAGAAGAUUCGUCAAAGUCUUUUAUUUGUAGAAACAAUUUCAACAACAUUCUUUUCACUUUUUUCUGCAAAAAUUUACCUAUACUACGAGUCUGAUAUAUGACUCAAAGUUUGCAUCUAGAUAGAUCGUUAAAAAUGGUUGACUACACAAUAACAGAAAGGAAAGAAGAAAGGAAGGAAGGAGAGAAGGAAGGAAGGAAAUAUAAAAGUUAUAUUCAAAAUUGGAAAACUAUUUAGUUUUAAAAGGACAGAUAGUCAUAAUAUAUAAUGACCUUAAUAUAUAAAUACUUUUUCCAUGUCCAUGAAAAGAUAGAAAAACGGUCAAAGAUAUGUGGCAAGCAGCCUCUAAGAUGAUGCCUAAUAUCUCAUUUUCUGUUAUUGAUGCCCUUAUAUGAUCCUUUCCCCUUGAGUAUGAACUCUACAAGAUCACUCCCUUCUAAUGAAUAAAAUGUAGCAAAAGUGAUAGAUGUCACUUCCAAAAUUAGAUUAAAAAUUCUGCCUCGAGCACACUCUCUUACUGUCUUUCUCACCCUUGAGGAAGCCAGCUGCUAUGUCAUGUGUACCUCCAUGGCAAUACACAGAUAGCAAACGACUGAGGCCUGACAACAACCACAUGAGUGGGCUUGGGAGCAGAUUUCCUCCCCCAACAGUUCAAUCUUCAGAUUAGACAGUAUCCUUCAUGAAAACUUCACUGGAACCUCAUGAGAAAUCUUGAGCUAAAGCACCCAGAUAAGCUGCGCCCAGAAUUUUGGCCCACAGAAACUGAGAGAUAAUAAAUGUUUAAGUUGCUGAAUUUGAGGAUAAUUUGUUACAUAGCAGUAGGGGAAUCAAUCACGGAAUCCAACGUCUUCAUCAGGCAACAGAAUCUCACCCAAAUGGUCAUCAUUUUCCUUCAAUGAGAAAACCUUCUAAAGUUCUGAGUAAUGCAAUGCCAUCUCUCUCUAUACUAUCAGGCUUCCAAGCUGGGGCAUCCUUUCCCCUCCUGAUUGGUUUAUUUCAUGAGGGGUUUUCCAGGCAAAACUGAUUUUUCUAUACCUGCCUGCAAAUUUCUGAGUCUUAAUUGCUUUGUUAACUUUAUGCUUAAGCCCCAGUGAACAUUCUUCAUUAAUAUUUCAGGAAAUAAUAUUUUUCUUGUGAGUGAGAGUGAAUUAGAGGUCAGAAAUACUUAAGUUUUUUUUCUCAGAUUCAUUACUGAUUUAUUUGGUAAUUUGUUGUGUUCUAGAACCCUCUAUAUUUUAGUUUUCACUUACGAUUAGAUAAACAUUAUGAUUAUUUUAUUUUUUAAUAAUAUAAUUUUGAUAAAGGGUUUUAUUGUACAGCUGGGAAAACAUUAAAAAGAAAUGAAAUAUAGCAUCUUAUUUUUCAAAACAAAGGAUAAUAAAUCUUAUCAUGUGAAUUCUACCAGUUUUCCUUUUCUAAUAUCUUUUGAAUACAUGCAUAUUCACCACCUG
rnacentral:lncRNA from 1 species